rnacentral:tRNA from 5 species
GGAGAGGUGGCCGAGUGGUUGAAGGCGCACGCUUGGAAAGCGUGUAAAGGGGUAACUCUUUCGCGGGUUCGAAUCCCGCUCUCUCCGCCA